AGUGAAUCUUGAAAACUUUUUGUAUUUUGGUGGGAACUAAACAAGGCCUAAGUAUAUAGUAUAGUUGGAAAUCAUAUAGUAACUUACAUGUACUAAUAAUAGAUUAAUUAGACUUAAUAAAUUCGUCUUGUAGUUUACAGCAAAGUUAUGUAAUUAGUUUUUUUAUUAGUAUCCAAAGACCUCUUCCGAUGUUCUACGAAACAUUCGAUAUGACACCCAAAAGAGGUGAAAAAAUCUUGAAAUUUUGUUUUAUUUGGUAAUUGUUAUCUAACUAUGGACUAACUAGAUUUAAAAGAUUUAUGUCGCAAAUUACAGGUAUAGUUAGUUAUUUUUUUUAUCUAUAUUUAAUGUUUUAUGUAUGUCUUAUAAGAUUUGAUGUGAUGGAGAAUUUUGAAAAAAAAAAGAUUUUGGGUAAACAAGGCCUUAACUUGGGCUCACGGCUGGGCUAAUUUGUAUUAGACCUGUCUCUAAUAGGAAAAAAAUUACAUUACCUCUCUUAGCUCUUGUGAAAAUCUAUUUUUCCUCUCUAAACUUUAAAAUUGAGCAAAACACCUCAUCAAUUUUUUAAACCAUUUACUUCACCUCUUUAAUCAUGUUAUAAGCGGUUUUUAAGGUAGUUUUAUUUUUUAUUUUUUAUUUAUUUUGGUUGAAUCUUUGAAAAAUCAUAGUAAAUCACAGAAAAUUCAUAAAAUAAAUAAUCAAUUUUAUUAAACUCCACGUGAGUAGAUCUAUACAAUAAACAUAUAAUAUUAUACAAAUUUAAUCAAACUUAAUAUUCUUUGACUCUAUAAGAAAGGUAGAAUAAUUUAUAAAUUGAGAUUGAGAGACUAUUAAUUUGUUUCCUGCUCUAGACCUUUGCCCCUUGUUUUACAUCUUUGGCCCCUUGUCUCUUCUUUAUCCUUUACUUUUAGUUUUUGCCCCCAGUUUUACAUUUUUUAUCCCUAUAAAUCUACUUAAUAAAAAGCAUACUAGAUUCACAUAUUUUAAAAUUUGGAGAGAAAAGGGUUGCUAAACAAUUUACAAGAGAUACCACAUGUUUUAGCAUGAUUUUGGCUUCUUGCAUCUCCUGUAAACAGUUGUGCCAAACAGAUAUCU
rnacentral:lncRNA from 1 species